ACGGUUAUGGUGGGCACUCUAAGGAGACUGCCGGUGCAACCGGAGGAAGUGGGGAUGACGUCAAGUCAUCAUGGCCCUUACGGCCUGGGCUACACACGUGCUACAAUGGUCGGUACAAAGGGUUGCCAAGCCGCGAGGUGGAGCUAAUCCCAUAAAACCGAUCGUAGUCCGGAUCGCAGUCUGCAACUCGACUGCGUGAAGUCGGAAUCGCUAGUAAUCGUGAAUCAGAAUGUCACGGUGAAUACGUUCCCGGGCCUU
rnacentral:rRNA from 1 species